UACGAAGGGUGCAAGCGUUAGUCGGAAUUACUGGGCGUAAAGCGUGCGUAGGUGGUCUCUUAAGUCCGUUGUGAAAGCCCUGGGCUCAACCUGGGAACUGCAGUGGAUACUGAGAAGCUAGAGUGUGUCAGAGGAUGGUGGAAUUCCCGGUGUAGCGGUGAAAUGCGUAGAGAUCGGAAGGAACAUCUGUGGCGAAGGCGACUAUCUGGGCCAACACUGACACUGAGGCACGAAAGCGUGGGGAGCAAACAGG
rnacentral:rRNA from 1 species